GGAACCCAGUUCUAUAACUAUAUAUAUAUCAGCAAGAAACGCUUAUGGUUUUAGUGAAUAUAAGCUGGCUUUGACUAGUAUAAAGAGUUAAACCUCACAUAAAUAUGUGAGAGACGCAAGUAGCAGUAUUUUAAACGUUCAUGUUUGUCUUACUAACCACAAAGAUAGCAUCUUGUUCUAACGGUUUUCUGCCUAUAUCCGCAUAGUUUUAAGGAAUAACCAAUUAAUAUGAUUUAUAUGUUAAGACGUCCCUCUUUUUGUACACUAUAUAACCUAUACCCUAAACGUAAUAAAACAGAGUGAUUUUGGACC